CCUGUCCAGGCGCCAUUUUUAAAUCCCCCUAAUCCGAACUAACUGCCCAUGGCUACAUGCAGCAGUCAAACGUUAACUUGAACUAAGUCCUUAGUUAAGUCCUUAGUUCGAGUUAAAGUUUGACUGCUGCGUGUAGCCGUGGGCAGUUUGUUCGGAUUAGGGGGAUUUAAAAAUGGCACCUGGACGGG
rnacentral:pre_miRNA from 1 species